CUCUCUCUCUCUCUCUCUCCUUCCCCUUCUGUUUCUGGUUCUCUCUACCCCUUCCGUGUGCUUGUUAUACCUUCUUGGUUUUUGCUAUCAGUUUCUUUUCCUCCAUUGAUCGAAGGUGAUAGAAACAAGUAGGAGAGGCUGCAGAUUACCCUUCAUUGGCGAUUUCUGAGGGUGUUUUUGCUUUCGCUUGUAAGUAAUAUCUAUAGUUCUUGGAUUUCCUCACAUUUCUAUUCCAUAAUUGUCUUCUUGUUAUAUACAUCUCUUUCUUUCCUAUGAAUUUUGUGGAAUGACGAAAUUUGUUGAAUUUAGAUUUAUUUUUUAAAUGAAUAACAUCAUGAUUUAGGACAAAAAAUUCACUAGUUUUAUCAGCUCUUUGACAAUAAUUGGGGUUGUUUAUCAUCACAAUUUACAAAUAUCAAUUCAAGCUCCUGCAAUGGAAAAGUUAAUUUAAGGUUGGAUCUUCAUUUUAUGCUAGUCCCAAAGGAAAAAAAUGUAAGUUUCAGAUGCAUGAGAACUCUAUUAACAUUUUUUUUUUGGAAUCAAAAUGCAACCCAUUUAUACAUGGAAAACAUUUCCAGCAUUGUUGAGACUUGCAUUGAAUGAUAAGAAAAGUGGAUUGUUGCCAUUUGAUCUCUGCUUAUUCUAUGUAUUGAAGUUUGAAGUACCUGUCCUCUCUCUUGCUGCUUUAUGAGCUCCCGUGAUGUGAGAUGGUAUGGGACCUUCAGAGCUUGAAGCAAAACAGACAUCUUUAGCAAUUGGAUCUGAACAUCACAGUGAAACUAGUGAAGGUUUGAAGAUAAAUCUUGGCACAAAUUCUAUAGAAGAAAAUCAUUUUGCCCAUGGAAAGAAGUUGAGCUCCUCAUCCUCCUCGUCUUCUUCUUCUUCAUUUGAAGAUCCCCGCCUCUCCCCAGGUGGGACAGCCUCCCCUAACGAUGAGAAAGGCACACAGUUAGCUUCAGAAGAGAAUGUAGAUGGAAUUUCGGUCAGUUCCAGCCCCAUUCCCAGGGAUGAGUUACAUUCUAGUAACGCAUCAAGCUUAAACACAGAAUUGGCAACACAAUCUCCUACAACGCAGCUGAUGGAGCGACCAGCUGACACAACUGCCUCCCCCUCAUACAGGAUUCCAUCUUCUAUAUUUGCUAGCAAAUCUUCAGCCCCAAAUGACUGGAGUGUUGCUUCUAGUGAAUCUUUGUUCAGUAUUCACAUGGGGAAUAUGAGCUUCACUAGAGAUGAAGCAAACUGGUUGGGUAAAUCUGGAGAGAUUGGUUUAAUAGGUGAUCAUGCCCUGUCUGGCUCCUUCUCUCCAAUGUUUGAUUUUUCAAGUAAACGACAUUCGAGUAAUCAGUCACCGAAUAAUAUAUCUGGCGAAAAUGAACAAAGAACUGAGGCGAAAAUGAGGAAAAACAUAAACGAUAAUGAAGCUGAUGCUGGGAAACAAAAGUCUCCUGUCAAUAAAUCACAUCGUUCUGCUAGCCUUCGCGGUUCAGAUGUGAGUGCAUCCAGUGUCAAAUCGUUUGCAUUUCCAAUAUUGACAGGGGAUCAUAAAAUGGAUUUUCCUCAAAAGCGAAAUGCAUCAUCACCCAUGACUUCGAAUUCACAACCUCCGAGUCCCAAAGUAGCCCUAGAGCCAGAUUCACAGCAAAAAUCACAACCAGAAACCCCUAAAGCGCCUUCAAAUGCUGCUCAGGGUAAAUGGUACUCCUGCUUACCUUGUUGUUCAUAAUGUACUUGAGGAGCAAUAUGUGGUUGAUCUAAUAUGUACUGUUCACACGACAAUGCCCUUUCAAAAUGGUAGAAUAGGAAUAUACGCAGCUGUGACAUCAAAUUGCAAAGUUAUGUUGAAAGUGCUGCUUCGUUUCAUUUUCUUUAGCUUUGAAGUUUUCAGUAUCUUCUUAAAUAGUUUAGGUAAAAUACACUCUCUCAAUACUGUUUCACAUAACAGAGCUUCUCAUUUUUAGCAUUUACGCUUCUGCUGAUAUUUGAUGAUAGUUUGUCAAUUUUCAUGCUCACCUCCUUGUAAUCAGGAAAGUUAUAGCAGGAGCGAUCAUAGGUUCAUUCAGAAACCAGAAUGAGAAUAGCCGCUGGCUGUUUUAUCAUUCUGUUUCCUUGAGACACAUUCAUGUAAAUAAAUUUAAUCAAUUGUGUAAUAGUUGAUAGCUCGUGC
rnacentral:misc_RNA from 1 species